ACAGUCACGUGGUCGAGCCGGCCC
rnacentral:siRNA from 1 species